GAAAAUCAAUAUCUAUUUCUAUACUUUCUUAAAAAUAAAUAAUGUAUUUUUAUUCCUUAAUUACCACUCUUUUAGAACAAUGGAGGAAAUGUUUUAGUACAAAAUAUAUUCACAGAAAGAGUCCAUUCUCAGGAGGCUAAGGCAGGAUAACUGUCAUGCAUUUGAGGCCAGCCUGGGCUACAGAGUGCUACACCAGCCAGGCCUAUAUUGCAAGAACCAUUUGUAAAAGCAAAGACCAAGCUGGGCCUUUAAUCCCAGCACUCGGGAGGCAGAGGCAGGUGGAUUUCUGAGUUCGAGGCCAGCCUGGUCUACAGAGUGAGUUCCAGGACAGCCAGGGCUACACAGAGAAACCCUGUCUCGAAAAACCAAAAAAAAAAAAAAGAAGUCAAAUAUCAUCAGGAAUACCCUGAAAAUGGUAAGGCCUCGCAGAUUACAAAGCAAAGGUCGGGGCUGGAGAGAUGGCUCAGUGGCUAAGAGCAGUGACUGCUCUUCCAAAGGUCCUAAGUUCAAAUCCCAGCAACCACAUGGUAGCUCACAACCAUCUGUAAUGAGAUCUAACGCCCUCUUCUGGAGUGUCUGUAUACACUACAGUGUACUCACAUACUUUAUUUAUUAAUAAAGUAAAUCUUUAAAGUCUACACAGCAAUCCCAGGAAGGAGACAGUACUGCCAUCAUUCUCAUUUACAGAUGAGGAGACUGAGACAGACAGAGGAAUUCGAUCUCUUGUGCAAGAUCACCCAGCUAGCAAUGGUACAUAGGGAAAGGGGUGUAACUAAGUCCAGGAACAGAGACUGCUUUCUAGCUACCAAACUCUCCUGCUUUAAAAGAGUAACUCAUUCUAUACUAAAAUAAUGAGAAAAUAAUAAUGAAAACAUUUUUUAGUCCUUGAAAUUUAAAAACUUAAACAGGCUCCUGAGUUGCUACAGUUACAUGGUUUGAAAGUGGUCUGUCCCUUAAGUCUUCAUGCUUUGGAGGUUUGGUGCCCAGGGCGGCAGUGUUGGUGAUGGUGUGGAACUGUUAAGAAGUAGGGCCUUGUGGGAGUCAUUAGACUAUGGGGAGAAAUGCCCUGGGAGAGAAUGCUGGUUUCCUGUGGUGCACUCUUAAGGGAGCCAGUAGUUACAGAAGCCUGAGCUAUAUAUGCGACUUUCUAUAUGCUUCCUGUUUAACGACAUUUCCCUAUAUAACCUGUGGUAAUGCCGUCAAGUGUCACACUGCUUUGCCAGUUGCCAAAGGAAUGGGCCUGUCCAAUCGUGACUUCCGAUCUCUAAAAUUAUGAGCCAAAAUAAAAAUAAGACUUUUUUCUUUAUAAAAUUGGCCUCAUUACGAUAAAUCACUGCAGUGCUCUAAAAGCAGCUAAUACAGAACUGAAGGAACCAUGUCUAAGAUACCAUGUUCUGCAGAGCCUCACUUACACUCCACACAAUAGCA
rnacentral:lncRNA from 1 species